UUGAAGUUAUAAAACUAACAAGAAAUUUUUUUAAACGGCUGCAAUUAGUAGUUGUGCUAAGGUAGCGUAAUCAUUUGCCCCUUAAUUAGGGGAAGGUAUGAAUGGUUUGACGUGGGAAAAGCUGUCUCUUUUAUAUAGAAAGAAGUUUAUUUUUGAGUGAAAAAGCUUAAAUAUUUGUAAAAGACGAGAAGACCCUAUCGAACUUGAAUUGUGUGUUUUAGUUUUGGAAUACAGAAAGUUUAGUUGGGGAAACUUAAAGUUAAGAAAAACGCUUUUUUGUUAUAAAAUGAUCCUGUAUUAUAGAAAAAUGAAAAAGUUACCGNAGGGAUAACAGCGCUUUCUUCUCUGAGAGGACUAAUCAAAGAGUUGGCUGCGACCUCGAUGUUGGAUUAAGGUUCCUUUUUGGGGUNGGAGUUAAA
rnacentral:rRNA from 1 species